GCAUCGAUAGCUCAGUGGCAGAGCGGUGGGGCGUUUACCCAUGCGGCCCGGGUUCGAUUCCCGGUCGAUGUG